rnacentral:rRNA from 1 species
UACGGAGGGGGCUAGCGUUGCUCGGAAUCACUGGGCGUAAAGGGUGCGUAGGCGGGUCUUUAAGUCAGGGGUGAAAUCCUGGAGCUCAACUCCAGAACUGCCUUUGAUACUGAAGAUCUUGAGUUCGGGAGAGGUGAGUGGAACUGCGAGUGUAGAGGUGAAAUUCGUAGAUAUUCGGAGGAACACCAGUGGCGAAGGCGGCUCACUGGCUCGACACUGACGCUGAGGUGCGAAAGCGUGGGGAGCAAACAGG